CCUCGACGGGUAAGGGUGAAACGGCGGUGUAAGAGACCACCGGGCCUCUGGUAACAGCAGGCCGCAUGGCAAGCCUCAUCGGGAGCAAGGCCAAGCAGAAGGCGCUGGAGGGCUGCUCGCCCAAAGCCUUCGGGUAGGCUGCUAGAGCCUGGCGGCGACGUCAGGUCGAGAUGGAUGGCCAUCCGCGCCGCGCAAGCGGCGUGACAGAACCCGGGGUAUAAGGGGUCUCACAUA
rnacentral:RNase_P_RNA from 1 species